CCAUACGAGCGCAACCCUCAUCAUUAGUUACCAUCAGGUAAGGCUGGGGACUCUAAUGAGACUGCCAUCGUAAGAUGUGAGGAAGGUGGGGAUGACGUCAAAUCAGCACGGCCCUUACGUCCGGGGCGACACACGUGUUACAAUGGGUGGUACAAAGGGCAGCUACCUGGCGACAGGAUGCUAAUCUCCAAAACCACUCUCAGUUCGGAUCGGAGUCUGCAACUCGACUCCGUGAAGCUGGAUUCGCUAGUAAUCGCGCAUCAGCCACGGCGCGGUGAAUACGUUCCCGGGCCUU
rnacentral:rRNA from 1 species